AUUGAACGCUGGCGGCAGGCCUAACACAUGCAAGUCGAACGAGUGGCGGACGGGUGAGUAAUGCCUGGGCAUCUAGCUUAUGGCGGGGGAUAACUACGGGAAACUGUAGCUACUACCGCGUACCAUAGGCUGAGCCCAAGUGGGAUUAGGUAGUUGGUGAGGUAAAGGCUCACCAAGCCGACGAUCUCUAGCUGGUCUGAGAGGAUGACCAGCCACACUGGAACUGAGACACGGCCCAGACUCCGACGGGAGGCAGCAGUGGGGAAUAUUGCGCAAUGGGGGCAACCUGACGCAGCCAUGCCGCGUGAAUGAAGAAGGCCUUCGGGUUGUAAAGUUCUUUCGGUAGCGAGGCGUUACCUACAGAAGAAGCACCGGCUAACUCCGUGCCAGCAGCCGCGGUAAUAC
rnacentral:rRNA from 1 species